rnacentral:lncRNA from 1 species
CCCCCUAGCGGGCCUUAGCUGCACGGCCAUGUGCUUCUGCCUAUUCACUCAUGACCUGAAGUGCUGGCGACCGAAUGUUGUACAGCGCUGUGAUAGCCGCUGGACGAGCCCCGCCUCCAGGGGGGACUUAAGGCGGGGAGGAGCUGUAGCACCUGCACCUUCAUUCCUUCUGUUCUCCCCCUGCAUCACGCCGAGGCGUGCAGCCCUCUACGACUGUCCCAUAGCGCAUUCCGACUGACGGCCACCUCAAGGACAGAACUCCUCUGCAUGAGUGCUGUUCAUCGCUUCGUCACUUGUCGCUUCGUCCUAGCCAACACAGCACAGGCCACGACGCCGCGACGCCGCAUCGCCAGGGCUUGGGGUCCGUAGAAAGCC